rnacentral:rRNA from 1 species
CAGUCGCCACGGGAAUACGUAGGGUGCAAGCGUUAAUCGGAAUUACUGGGCGUAAAGCGUGCGCAGGCGGUUCGGAAAGAAAGAUGUGAAAUCCCAGAGCUUAACUUUGGAACUGCAUUUUUAACUACCGGGCUAGAGUGUGUCAGAGGGAGGUGGAAUUCCGCGUGUAGCAGUGAAAUGCGUAGAUAUGCGGAGGAACACCGAUGGCGAAGGCAGCCUCCUGGGAUAACACUGACGCUCAUGCACGAAAGCGUGGGGAGCAAACAGGAUUAGAUACCCCAGUAGUCCCUGUCUCUUAUAC